rnacentral:rRNA from 1 species
CAGUGGGGAAUAUUGGACAAUGGGCGAAAGCCUGAUCCAGCAAUGCCGCGUGAGUGAUGAAGGCCUUAGGGUUGUAAAGCUCUUUUACCAGGGAUGAUAAUGACAGUACCUGGAGAAUAAGCUCCGGCUAACUCCGUGCCAGCAGCCGCGGUAAUACGGAGGGAGCUAGCGUUGUUCGGAAUUACUGGGCGUAAAGCGUACGUAGGCGGUUAUUCAAGUCAGAGGUGAAAGCCCGGGGCUCAACCCCGGAACGGCCUUUGAAACUAGAUAGCUAGAGUCUUGGAGAGGUUAGUGGAAUUCCGAGUGUAGAGGUGAAAUUCGUAGAUAUUCGGAAGAACACCAGUGGCGAAGGCGACUAACUGGACAAGUACUGACGCUGAGGUACGAAAGCGUGGGGAGCAAACAGGAUUAGA